rnacentral:pre_miRNA from 1 species
CAAGUACUCCCUCCGUCCGGAAUUACUUGUCAUCAAAAUGGAUGUGUCUAGAACUAAAAUACAUCUAGAUACAUCAAUUUCAAUGACAAGUAUUUUUGGAUGGAGGGAGUACAAG